AAUCCCACAGCUGGUGUCCCACAUGGAUGCUAAUGGGAGGUGGUGGUAGCCUGGCCCUGAAGAAGGCCGUCGCGGAUCUGCGUGGCGAUGUCGCGGACGGCGCCGGGGCCAUGGGGGAUGAAGACGGAGGAGGCCUUUGAGGAGGCGCCGAUCUCCUUCAUGGUGUCGAAGUACUGGGUGAUGAGCACCAUGUCCAUCACGUCCUUGGCCGUGGUGCCCGGCACGUUCACUGAGAACCCCAGCACGCUGUCCCUCAACCCAUCCACGAUCGCCUGACGCUGCCUCGCGAUACCCAGCCCCGACAGGUACUUUGCUUCCGCUUCUCCCUCCGCCCUCUUUAUCUGCACGAUCUUCUCUGCCUCUGCCUUCUCGUUUGCAGCCACCCUCAGCCUCGCAGCUGCACAUCAUCUCAUCUCAUUCUCAUCAGUUUCAGUUGGUGCAACAUAGUACAUCAGUGUAUCUUGUGUAAUUAAGGAUUACAGUGUAACCGCCUUACCU
rnacentral:lncRNA from 1 species